GAUGAACGCUGGCGGCGUGCUUAACACAUGCAAGUCGAACGAAGCUGCUUAACGGAAGCCUUCGGGUGGAAGAUAAGUAGACUGAGUGGCGGACGGGUGAGUAACGCGUGGGUAACCUACCCUGUACAGGGGGAUAACAGUUAGAAAUGACUGCUAAUACCGCAUAAGCGCACGAUACCGCAUGGUAUUGUGUGAAAAGUUUUUUCGGUACAGGAUGGACCCGCGUCUGAUUAGCUAGUUGGUGAGGUAAUGGCUCACCAAGGCGACGAUCAGUAGCCGGCUUUAACGAGUGAACGGCCACAUUGGGACUGAGACACGGCCCAAACUCCUACGGGAGGCAG
rnacentral:rRNA from 1 species